rnacentral:pre_miRNA from 1 species
UUACUAUAAAGCUGUAUGGAGUUGGAACAGCUUCCCUUAAUUUGCCACUAGGGGCGCUGUUCCAACUCCAUACAAAAAUUUGAGUUA